UAAGGCCGCUCGCCAACCAGAAGGCUUCUUCAAACCGGAAGUUGAUAUGGUUGCCUUGGGGAUUGGGCUGCACGGCCCAGGUAAGAAGUCUCAAUUAAGUGAGCUGGGGAGUUUCGCGGCCCGGGGAUGAUAGGCCAAAGAAAGAGGAGCUGCAACCCUCGCACAAGACGACCCAAAGGGAGUCCGUUACCUGGGGUGUUUUGGAAAAAGAGAGAGAGGUGACUAAUACUAAAAAGUGCCUUCGAAAAAAAUCGUGAAAGGGAAUGGAGGAUGAUGUGGAAAAGGCCAGUGCACAUCUACCAGCAAAACAAGAUUAGCAAAAUGGAAACUGUCCCCCAGGUAACCUGGCCCCUUGUGACUAGCUGCUGUGUUCUGAUUGGUGUUGCCAUCACACUCUAUAAUCUUGGUGACAGUGAUCAUGUCUGAUUUCUUCCCAACAUAUCCCAGCAUCCAUACAGUGACUGGUAAGUCUGUCACUCAGGUUAUUGAUACACAAGUGACCAUAUAAAGGUGUUCCCAAGGACUAGAACUGUCACUGGAGCUAGAGCAAAUCUGUAGGUAUUUGGCCUCAUGACAGUGGAUGAACUAGCAGUGAGGGGGUUAAGCACAAAAUGGGUCAGAUUAUAUAUGGUAACUGUGAGAAACCACAGAUAGUUUAGCAUGGGCUUUGUCAGGUUCAGCGAGGUGGCUCAGUGGGUAAAGGGGUUUGCUACCCAAUCCUGAUGGCUUCACUUUGAUCCCCAGAACCCACAGGGAGAACCCAAGCAGAGAACUGGCUCUCACAAGUUGACCUCGGACUUCCACACACACUGUGGUGCACUCUCACAGGCACCAUACAAACACACAAUAACUUAAAGGACUGGCAAGAUGACUCAGCAGCUAAGGGUACUGGCUCCCAAGCCUGAAGACCUGGGUUCGAUUCCUGGAACCUACAUAGAGGAAGGAGAGGGCAGACUCUUGUUAUUCUUCCUGUGAUUGCCACGCUUGCACUGUGGCAGACAGGAGGUCGGCAAGCGGCCGAGCCUGGAACUGCUUGUGUUAUGGCAGAACUUCGGGCAGCACAAUUCACCUUUCUCUCCACUUGAACAAGCUGCAGCGAUGCUGACAGCAAGCGGGGCAUCUCCUCAUCCCAGCUUGUCCUUCAGGGAGAGCGCACAGUAAAAUCACCCACACAGUGCCAGCCUGUAAAUUACACUCUGCCCAGCAGAGGUUCCGGCUGUCUGCAUUCCCAAUGGCUCUGGUCCUCAGCUUUGCCUGAGAGCACACGAGUGAGUGGGCAUUUCAGUGUACACAGUGCUGGGCACGGGUAGGGUGGGGACACUGCAGGGUAAUUCUUCAGUAGCCGGGGUUAAAAUCCAUAGAACCAAACAUUAACCCUAGGGACAAAAGGACAGUGCACUCACCUUCUUCUAGGAACCUUCCUCCUGGAGCUUAUGGGCUAUGGAGGGUCAGAAGCGGAUGUCACUUUGUCCUCAUUCAGGAUCACUAAACAAUUCUCAUAUCACAGUCCAGAGAAAAGCACUUUGUACUCCAAGAUAAGAAUGGCAAUAUCAACUUACUGGUUGUGUUUAAAACAAUAAAAUUUGAUCAUUACUCAUGGACCUGGACUCUGGCAAGGGCGGUUCUGUGGGUUUUUCUGUAUCCGCAUUCACCGUUAUGAGGACUUGUGACUCCAUCGUGAAUGUGGGCACCUGCUGGUCCUCUGCUUCCAACAGUGCUGCAAACUUAGAAACCUUCACAGGUUUUUGUUUUCCAUCAAAUUUAUUUUCAGAUAAGCCUUCUCAGGCUCUCAUCAUACCUGACCUUUCAGGAAUGAUCUGCCUCGGAGUCAAGGCUGGAGAGGUGACACGUGGGUGACAUAUUGUCCAUGCAAGUCUACCUAGCUGAGUUCCAUUCAGCAGAUAAAAUGUUGUCCUUUGACCUCCACACGCAUGCAAUGCCGUGUGUGUGCACAUACACACACACACACACACACGCACACACAUGCACGCACGCACACACACACACACACAAUUUUAAAAUAAAACAAGGUUAAAAGGCCCAGAGCUUGUCUUGUCUGAGAACACGCACCUCCCGGGAGUUGUGUUUUCUGGGAUAAGGGGCAGAGCUGAAAGCCGAACCCCUUGAUUACCCCUGGGUAUUAAGAGCUGUAACCUAAGAUCCAGGGGUUGGGGAUUUAGCUCAGUGGUAGAGUGCUUGCCUAGCAAGCGGAAGGCCCUGGGUUCGGUCCCCAGCUCCGAAAAAAAGAAAAAAGAGAAGAAGAAGAAGAAGAAGAAGAAGAAGAAGAAGAAGAAGAAGAAGAAGAAGAAGAAGAAGAAGAAGAAGAAGAAGAAGAAGAAGAAGAAGAAGAAGAAGAAGAAGAAAAAGAGCUGUAACCUAAGAUCCAGCCCAACUACAGGAGAGCUUGCUCCCUCAGCUCCGCUGGACAAGCCCUGAUGCUGGCUUUCUGGAGCGCCUUGCCAUUGCUGGUAUUGUUGGGUUUGUGUAUAUUAACCCACAUGAAUUGUGCUAAAAAGAAAGAAAAAACUGCAAAUAAAGUAUUUGAGAAUUCUCAAAUCAAACAGCUAGUAAUAACCUGCACAUUGUUUUUCCAGAACUCCAUCAAGCCAUACUUGCUGCCUGGCAGUAUAAAUUCGGUCUUGUAACCACUUUUAACAGUGAGACUAGCUCCGCUCAGGCAGGAGAUUGCCUGUCGUUUUACCCAAGAGCAGUGCUCACUGAGCACAGCAAGCAUUUGGUCAGUGCCUGUCGAGUGACUGAGUUGCAGGAGCGCGGAGACUUUUUGGUGUAAUUCUAUCUCCUACAAAAGAGAGAUCCAUUUAUAGCUCUUUCAAGUGUAAAUGCUACCCUAUUAUAUUAGCACUUUUCAUUCUAGAUAAAAAGUACACUUCAGGGACAGGAGAGAUCGCUCAACAGUAAAAAGUGCUUACUGCUCUUCCAGAAGACCAGAGUUCAGUUCCCAGCAUCCACAUAGAGUAACUCACAACUGCCCAGAACUCAGCUUAAGUGGAACCAUGUCCUCUGUGGCCUCCACGGGUACCUGCACACACAUGGAAUACAUAUACACUAAGUAAGUUUUAAACAUACAAUCUACUAACUUUGACUAAUAGACAUUUACAAAAAGAAAAUUGUAAUUAGCUGGGGUUUUCCCCCAUUAUAUUUGAAAAGAAUGUUGUUCUUGGAGUCGGCCGUGUCAUUUAAGUACCCAUUAACGGCAAUCGCUGAGCCCAGCCUACCCUGGAAUAGACUAAAAGUGAAACUUCCUUCUGAGCGGUAAGUACCCCUGCUUUCAGAGUAGUGGGUACAGGAGCGUGAGGUAACCAGCUCUCUAGAAGGGAGCAGUGGGGUAGACCUAAAGUCAGACACUCACCCCUUCACCAGUUGACCAGAAACCCCAGCAGCUAGUCCCACUAGAACAUGGUGGGCGUUUACUCAGUGCGUGUCAGUCACAAAUCUCCUUCAACAUCCAGACAGAAAUACAGAGGAUGGGAGCCUAGGAAGAAGAGGGAGGAACAGUUGUAAAGAAGGGCAGGGCUGCUGUACAAGUGCAUGAUUCUCUGACACGCACCUCUCGUUCCAAGGCAGCCCAAGUAGAAAAUGGUUCAUACAAUACAGUACGGUUCACUUAGCAGAAAAAUAAGGCCAAGCCCUGAGUACUCAGCACCUUCACGGUGCCAAAGGAUCAUGAGCGAAACUGCUGGGCACAUAAGAGGAGCAGCCAGGCUCACCUUACACAGGCUUCACCUGACACUCAACUCUCUGUGUUGUUUCGGGGCCUGUGGUGAGGAGGGCUGUCAUGAAGUACAUGGUGAGGCAGAGCCGUUUGCCUCCCGGAAGCCAGGAAACAGAUGCAGGGAUAGGCAUGGACAAGAAGCGUCCUUCAGAGUUUCACCUCCUGGGCCUGCCUUACACCAGUGGACCACAGUACCCAAGUUUCCAUCAUGUCUCAGCUAGCGAUGUCACACAUAGUGGUGAACAGUACCCCAAGGACGAGAGGGGACGGUCAUGGAGUCUGAAGUGCCUAUACAACAAACUAGAAACAUAGUUUUCCACACUUUCCGAGUUAUUCUCUCUUACCUCACACUACAUGGAUGUGACCUAUCAUCACAGGCCAGACACCUAUCUACAGUUUGAAACAAUACCUUUUUAAAUUGAAAAUACUUUUUCAUAAAUAUGUUCUAAUCAGAGCAUUUCCUCUGAGAGCCUCCUCACCCAUCCAUCUCCAUACUUUGUCCCUUUAAAAAACAGCUAUGCCCACAAAACAAAACAAAAAGAAUUUAAAGAAAAAAAAAACAGUAAGAGGGCUGGAGAGAUGGCUCAGCAGUUAAGAGCACUGACUGCUCUUCCAGAGGUCCUGAGUUCAAAUCCCAGCUACUACAUGGUGGCUCACAACCAUCUGUAAUGGGAUCUGAUGCCCUCUUCUGGUGCAUCUGAAGACAGCUAAAGUGUAUAUAAUAAAUAAAUCUUUAAAAUGUACAAGAAACACAUAUACCACACACACGCUAAGACACAUGCAACACACACAAAACCCAUUAAAAAUAAUGAAAGCUUAUCUUGUUUGAUAGUGUGUAUAAUGUGACUAUCGCCCUCGUUGAGAAUAAGGCAGACCCAGCCGUCAGCUCUGUGCUGAUGUAGGACCUCUGUAACAGCUUCCAGUUUGGGCCAGGAUACCGAGAAAGAAUCGUUGGAGCCCAGGUCUUUGGAAGGAGCCUGGAUGUUGCAGUGAGACUACCAUAACUUUUAAAAUUAACUGUAAAAUAGUAUAAUCAAAAUCCUCCUCACCAUGAUCAAAAGAAUUAUUACAUUUCAGUAAUUAAGACCCUAAUUAGGAAGUAUACAUAUUUGUAUGGAAAACAAAUAUAUUUCAUAUAAGACCUGUUUCAACAGAUGUUAAAGUACAGAACAGGCAUAUUUUAAGAUGUAUCAAAUAUAGCACUAAACUGACAUGUUAAUGCAGGUGUUCCAUUCAGAAGGCUGAGGCAGGAGGAUCACGGGUUCCAGGCCAGUCUAUGAUACACAGAAGGACAUUGUCUCAAGCCAAAACAAAAAGGAAGAAUGAUAGCAACAAAGAUGCAGCAAUGAAAGUGGUUUUUUUGUAUAAUUAAAUGAAGUAUUAACCUGUAAGCAAUGUCGUUAGUAGCACAUUCUUAAAACAUUUAUCAGACUUAGUUAGAGUUCCCAUGCCUGUGAACAGGCACCAUGACCAAGGCAAGUCUUAUGAAGGACAUUUAAAUGGGGCUAGCUUACAGUUUCAGAAGUUCAGUCCACUAUCAUCAAGACAGGAAACAUGGCAGCAUCCAGGCAGGCAUGGCUCUGGAGGAGCUGAGAAGUCUACAUCUUCAUCCAAAGGAAGCCAGGAGCAAACUGUCCUCAGGUAGCUAGGAUGAGGGUCUCAAAGCCCACCCCCACAGUGACGCACUUCCUCCAACAAGGCCACACCUCCUAAUAAUGCCCCUCCCUGGGCCAAGCAUAGUCAAACCACCAUUCUAUGUGUUCUCAUAAAAUACAAAACCAAACAAGUCUUUAGCAUUCUUUAACCCAGCACCAUGGGUAAGAUGAGGAGUUCAAAACUCUUCCUCAUCUCCAAAGACUCUUCCGUGAAACCAUUAUAGAAAUAAUAUGCCAACCCAAUGAGAAAUCACUGUGCAUACUUAAGAGAUCAGCGAGGAAAAGCUCUUUACAAACAUUCAAAAACCCACGAGGCUGGCUGUGGCUAAUUCUCAAAGAACAGAGGCCUCCAGCUGAAGAUCUUACUCGAUGACACACACACCAUGUGGGCUCAUUCUUCCCACAAGUGCUGUCAUCCUGGAGUCUUUCUCAGGUCCUGGCCGCAGGCUACACCUCAGACCAUUUAAAGGGACACAGGAGACUGCAAGUCUGGAGACUUGGGCGCAUGGGAGACUUAUACAACAAUGAUAUUGUCACUUACUUCUCGAGUACACAGUGUUGUUCUUUUCACAUCGUUCUUACCCAUGCACAUCUUGCCCACCUGGAAAACAUGUUUUUCCUGUUAAAAGCACAGGCUGGGACACAAUGAUGGUUGCCUCUUAGAGGCAUGUUCUUUGACAUGGAAAUGGGCCCACUGACUGGUUAUAAGUCCUUUAUGGGGACAGAACUAACUGGAGGUUAGUCCUGUUGAGUAAACAUUUCGCAGAGACUUCCUCAGCCGGCCUAAAUUUCCAUUACACUACAGAAUUUUCUUCUUCACAGUUUCUCACACACCUGGUGAGAGUACACCUAACUUCAUAGUUCCUAAGC